UUAAAGAGUUCUAUAACUCCCAAACCCAUGUGAACAUACCUAACGUUGCCUCGGCAGGUCGCACCUACCUUGUAGCACCCUACCCUGUAGGGCCUACCCGGGAGGUGCGGGUAAGCCUGCCGGCGGCCCACCAAACUCUGUUUGAUAUUGAAUUCUGAACCUAUAACUAAAUAAGUUAAAACUUUCAACAACGGAUCUCUUGGUUCUGGCAUCGAUGAAGAACGCAGCGAAAUGCGAUAAGUAAUGUGAAUUGCAGAAUUCAGUGAAUCAUCGAAUCUUUGAACGCAUAUUGCGCCCAUUAGUAUUCUAGUGGGCAGGACCGUUCGAGCGUCAUUUCAACCCUUAAGCCUUCGUUGCUUAGUGUUGGGAGCCUACGGCAACGUAGCUCCUCAAAGUUAGUGGCGGAGUUGGUUCACACUCUAGACGUAGUAAUUUUUUAUCUCGCCUAUUAGUUGGACUAAUCCCCUGCCGUAAAACCCCUAAUUUAUCAAGGUUGACCUCGAAUCGGUUCAGACAAACUCGCUAAAUUGAA
rnacentral:rRNA from 1 species